GACAGAGGUGCCAAGCGUUAGGCGGAAUCACUGGGCUUAAAGCGUGUGUAGGCGGAUCGUUAAGUACCUUGUGAAAUCCCACGGCUCAACCGUGGAACUGCUCGGUAUACUGGCGGUCUUGAGCCACCUAGGGGCAACUGGAACAAGCGGUGGAGCGGUGAAAUGCGUAGAUAUCGCUUGGAACGCCAACGGUGAAAACAGGUUGCUGGGGGUGUGCUGACGCUGAGACACGAAAGCCAGGGGAGCGAACGGGAUUAGAUACCCCGGUAGUCCUGGCCCUAAACGAUGUCGACUAGAUCGUAGUGCCUCUGACGGUAUUACGGUCGAAGCAAAAGUGCUAAGUCGACCGCCUGGGAAGUACGGUCGCAAGGCUAAA
rnacentral:rRNA from 1 species